UACAGGUCGCUCAUGGGGGAGCCAAGAUUUGGCUCUGACUCUAAACACAGCCAGCACUCAACCUGAAGCUGAAUCACUCUGCACAUAGUGGACCAUUGAGCCCAGGAGGAAGGAAGAGAAGAGUUAAACCGUGUAGAGUGAAAGGCUUGGAGAUGACAGGUCCUGUUCAAGGGACGAGUAAGCAGUGAUAAGAGUCGGGGAGAGAGCGCACACACUGCAGAUAGAACCACCUGCCACAGAGAAAGCAGGAGAGGGCUUAGACAUCUCCCAUCGAGAUACACUUUUUUAAUAAUCUUAAUAGAGGGAGGCAAGGAGAUGUUUUCAUUUACCU